UAGGGAAUCUUCCGCAAUGGACGAAAGUCUGACGGAGCAACGCCGCGUGAGCGAAGAAGGCCUUCGGGUCGUAAAGCUCUGUUGUUAGGGAAGAACAAGUAUCGGAGUAACUGCCGGUACCUUGACGGUACCUAACCAGAAAGCCACGGCUAACUACGUGCCAGCAGCCGCGGUAAUACGUAGGUGGCAAGCGUUGUCCGGAAUUAUUGGGCGUAAAGCGCGCGCAGGCGGUCCUUUAAGUCUGAUGUGAAAGCCCACGGCUCAACCGUGGAGGGUCAUUGGAAACUGGGGGACUUGAGUGCAGAAGAGGAGAGUGGAAUUCCACGUGUAGCGGUGAAAUGCGUGGAGAUGUGGAGGAACACCAGUGGCGAAGGCGACUCUCUGGUCUGUAACUGACGCUGAGGCGCGAAAGCGUGGGGAGCAAACAGGAUUAGAUACCCUGGUAGUCCACGCUGUAAACGAUGAUUACUCGAUGUUGGCGAUAAACUGUCAGCGUU
rnacentral:rRNA from 1 species